UACGGAGGGUGCGAGCGUUGUCCGGAAUCACUGGGCGUAAAGGGCGCGUAGGCGGCCUGAUAAGUAGGGGGUGAAAUCCUGCGGCUUAACCGCAGGGCUGCCUUCUAAACUGUCAGGCUCGAGCACAGUAGAGGCAGGUGGAAUUCCCGGUGUAGCGGUGGAAUGCGCAGAUAUCAGGAGGAACACCAAUAGCGAAGGCAGCUCGCUGGGACGGUACUGACGCUAAGGCGCGAAAGCGUGGGGAGCGAACAGG
rnacentral:rRNA from 1 species